UGGGUAUCUUUGAACUUCAUUGUUUAUGACUCUAUCUCUCCAUUCUUGCUUUGGUCAUGACAGUCAUCCAAAUCUAAAUCACUCAGAUUAUUGGACGUUACCCAUCCUUGAUUUAAACGAUAAUUAGUUUUAAUUAUUUUAAAUUCUUGGAUAUUGAUUCAGUGCUAUAUGAGUACAAUCAAAUGGAUGAGAAGACAUUG
rnacentral:lncRNA from 1 species